rnacentral:lncRNA from 1 species
GGAGCUGUAGACAGGAGCUGUUCCUAUUCGGGCAUCUUGGCUCCUCCUUGACAAGCUUGAAGGUGAGCACCUCGAAGGGCUUCUUUUUAUGUUGAAAGGCACGGGUUUGCAUGGCGGUUCAUCAGAGGUCAAUACCCCAGUUUGAGAAAGUCCACUGUGGGGAGGAAAGAGAGACUUAAACAAGCCCUGGAAAAACAAAGAAUGGAACACCCCUCCGCUGACUUCAACCAACUGCCUGCUGAUGCGGCCUGACUCCCAGCCCUUUUUGCAGUUUUGAAGUGACAAACUGACUAGGCUACAAAGUAUUCAACCAUGGGCUGGUUCUGGCUGGUUCACCGAGGCUGUGUACAAAGUGUCUUCAUGUCCUGUGUUUCACCUUUUAACAUACAGAACCUAAUUUUACUGCAUUUUAAUGUUAAUUCUCCACUCGAAGGUGAACAUGGGAUGUAUGUAACACAUAUGUUUGCUUAUCAAGCACACAUAUGACCCCCUUUCAUGAAUAUUCAUAGUUCCCCCUGUGACCUGUUGAAUAUGUCUGUUUAGCCAACCUGUUUGGCAUAAAACUCCUAUCCCACCCUAUCUCCCUCAAAGUACCUGUUUGUGGUCUCAGCUGGAGGUGCCACUUCCCAGCCUGCAGUUUGCAACCCUUCUCAAG